rnacentral:tRNA from 1 species
AAGGACGUGGCGGAAUUGGCAGACGCACCAGAUUCAAAAUCUGGCGAAGUAAUUCGUAUGGGUUCGAGUCCCAUCGUCGACA